UACAGAGGGGGCCAGCGUUGUUCGGAAUUAUUGGGCGUAAAGGGCGCGUAGGCGGCUGGGUAAGUCAAAUGUGAAAUCCCGAGGCUCAACCACGGAAUUGCGUUUGAAACUACCUGGCUUGAGUCCCGGAGAGGGUAGUGGAAUUCCCAGUGUAGCGGUGAAAUGCGCAGAUAUCAGGAGGAACACCGGUGGCGAAGACGGAUCUCUGGGCCGAUACUGACGCUGAGGAGCGAAAGCGUGGGGAGCGAACCGG
rnacentral:rRNA from 1 species